rnacentral:rRNA from 1 species
UACGAAGGGUGCAAGCGUUACUCGGAAUUACUGGGCGUAAAGCGUGCGUAGGUGGUUUGUUAAGUCUGUUGUGAAAGCCCCGGGCUCAACCUGGGAAUGGCAAUGGAUACUGGCAAGCUAGAGUGCGGUAGAGGGUAGUGGAGUUCCCGGUGUAGCGGUGAAAUGCGUAGAGAUCGGGAGGAACACCAGUGGCGAAGGCGGCUACCUGGACCAGCACUGACACUGAGGCACGAAAGCGUGGGGAGCAAACAGG